UCAGUUCGGAUUGGAGUCUGCAACCCGACUCCAUGAAGCUGGAUUCGCUAGUAAUCGCGCAUCAGCCACGGCGCGGUGAAUACGUUCCCGGGCCUUGUACACACCGCCCGUCACACCAUGGGAGUCGGUAACACCCGAAGCCUGUAGUCUAACCGCAAGGAGGACGCAGUCGAAGGUGGGAUUGAUGACUGGGGUGAAGUCGUAACAAGGUAAC
rnacentral:rRNA from 1 species